rnacentral:misc_RNA from 1 species
AACGCACAUUGCGCCCGCCAGUAUUCUGGCGGGCAUGCCUGUUCGAGCGUCAUUUCAACCCUCGGACCCCCGUAGCCUCAGGGCCUCGGGGGGCCGGUGUUGGGGCUCGGGCUGCCCUCGCUGGCGGCCCGUCCCCUAAAUACAGUGGCGGUCUCGCUGCGGCCUCCCCUGCGUAGUAGCACACCUCGCAGGACGGAGAGCGGCGCGGCCAAGCCGUAAAACCCCCGACUUUUUUCAGGUUGACCUCGAAUCAGGUAGGAAUACCCGCUGAACUUAA